GACGAACGCUGGCGGCGUGCUUAACACAUGCAAGUCGAACGAAGAGCGAUGGAAGCUUGCUUCUAUCAAUCUUAGUGGCGAACGGGUGAGUAACGCGUAAUCAACCUGCCCUUCAGAGGGGGACAACAGUUGGAACGACUGCUAAUACCGCAUACGAUCUAAUCUCGGCAUCGAGGAUAGAUGAAAGGUGGCCUCUACAUGUAAGCUAUCACUGAAGGAGGGGAUUGCGUCUGAUUAGCUAGUUGGAGGGGUAACGGCCCACCAAGGCGAUGAUCAGUAGCCGGUCUGAGAGGAUGAACGGCCACAUUGGGACUGAGACACGGCCCAGACUCCUACGGGAGGCAGCAGUGGGGAAUCUUCCGCAAUGGACGAAAGUCUGACGGAGCAACGCCGCGUGAGUGAUGACGGCCUUCGGGUUGUAAAGCUCUGUUAAUCGGGACGAAAGGCCUUCUUGCGAAUAGUGAGAAGGAUUGACGGUACCGGAAUAGAAAGCCACGGCUAACUACGUG
rnacentral:rRNA from 1 species